rnacentral:tRNA from 1 species
GGGGCUUUAGUUUAAGUAAAAUACCUGCUUUGCAAGCAGGAGAUGUAGUGUUUCUGCAAGUUCUA